rnacentral:rRNA from 1 species
GAUAGUGAACCAGUACCGUGAGGGAAAGGCGAAAAGAACCCCGGCGAGGGGAGUGAAAAAGAACCUGAAACCGUGUACGUACAAGCAGUGGGAGCACAGGUUUACCUGUGUGACUGCGUACCUUUUGUAUAAUGGGUCAGCGACUUAUAUUCUGUAGCAAGGUUAACCGUAUAGGGGAGCCGCAGGGAAACCGAGUCUUAACCGGGCGUUAAGUUGCAGGGUAUAGACCCGAAACCCGGUGAUCUAGCCAUGGGCAGGUUGAAGGUUGGGUAACACUAACUGGAGGACCGAACCGACUAAUGUUGAAAAAUUAGCGGAUGACCUGUGGCUGGGGGUGAAAGGCCAAUCAAACCGGGAGAUAGCUGGUUCUCCCCGAAAGCUAUUUAGGUAGCGCCUCGUGAAUUCAUCUCCGGGGGUAGAGCACUGUUUCGGCUAGGGGGCCAUCCCGGCUUACCAACCCGAUGCAAACUGCGAAUACCGGAGAAUGUUAUCACGGGAGACACACGGCGGGUGCUAACGUCCGUCGUGAAGAGGGAAACAACCCAGACCGCCAGCUAAGGUCCCAAAGUCAUGGUUAAGUGGGAAACGAUGUGGGAAGGCCCAGACAGCCAGGAUGUUGGCUUAGAAGCAGCCAUCAUUUAAAGAAAGCGUAAUAGCUCACUGGUCGAGUCGGCCUGCGCGGAAGAUGUAACGGGGCUAAACCAUGCACCGAAGCUGCGGCAGCGACGCUGAUGCGUUGUUGGGUAGGGGAGCGUUCUGUAAGCCUGUGAAGGUGGCCUGUGAGGGUUGCUGGAGGUAUCAGAAGUGCGAAUGCUGACAUAAGUAACGAUAAAGCGGGUGAAAAGCCCGCUCGCCGGAAGACCAAGGGUUCCUGUCCAACGUUAAUCGGGGCAGGGUGAGUCGACCCCUAAGGCGAGGCCGAAAGGCGUAGUCGAUGGGAAACGGGUUAAUAUUCCCGUACUUGGUGUUACUGCGAAGGGGGGACGGAGAAGGCUAUGUUGGCCGGGCGACGGUUGUCCCGGUUUAAGCGUGUAGGUGUGUGUUCCAGGUAAAUCCGGUUCACUUUAACACUGAGGCGUGAUGACGAGGCACUACGGUGCUGAAGCAACAAAUGCCCUGCUUCCAGGAAAAGCCUCUAAGCAUCAGGUAACAUCAAAUCGUACCCCAAACCGACACAGGUGGUCAGGUAGAGAAUACCAAGGCGCUUGAGAGAACUCGGGUGAAGGAACUAGGCAAAAUGGUGCCGUAACUUCGGGAGAAGGCACGCUGACACGUAGGUGAAGUGAUUUACUCACGGAGCUGAAGUCAGUCGAAGAUACCAGCUGGCUGCAACUGUUUAUUAAAAACACAGCACUGUGCAAACACGAAAGUGGACGUAUACGGUGUGACGCCUGCCCGGUGCCGGAAGGUUAAUUGAUGGGGUCAGCGCAAGCGAAGCUCCUGAUCGAAGCCCCGGUAAACGGCGGCCGUAACUAUAACGGUCCUAAGGUAGCGAAAUUCCUUGUCGGGUAAGUUCCGACCUGCACGAAUGGCGUAAUGAUGGCCAGGCUGUCUCCACCCGAGACUCAGUGAAAUUGAACUCGCUGUGAAGAUGCAGUGUACCCGCGGCAAGACGGAAAGACCCCGUGAACCUUUACUAUAGCUUGACACUGAACAUUGAGCCUUGAUGUGUAGGAUAGGUGGGAGGCUUUGAAGUGUGGACGCCAGUCUGCAUGGAGCCGACCUUGAAAUACCACCCUUUAAUGUUUGAUGUUCUAACGUGGACCCGUGAUCCGGGUUGCGGACAGUGUCUGGUGGGUAGUUUGACUGGGGCGGUCUCCUCCUAAAGAGUAACGGAGGAGCACGAAGGUUGGCUAAUCCUGGUCGGACAUCAGGAGGUUAGUGCAAUGGCAUAAGCCAGCUUGACUGCGAGCGUGACGGCGCGAGCAGGUGCGAAAGCAGGUCAUAGUGAUCCGGUGGUUCUGAAUGGAAGGGCCAUCGCUCAACGGAUAAAAGGUACUCCGGGGAUAACAGGCUGAUACCGCCCAAGAGUUCAUAUCGACGGCGGUGUUUGGCACCUCGAUGUCGGCUCAUCACAUCCUGGGGCUGAAGUAGGUCCCAAGGGUAUGGCUGUUCGCCAUUUAAAGUGGUACGCGAGCUGGGUUUAGAACGUCGUGAGACAGUUCGGUCCCUAUCUGCCGUGGGCGCUGGAGAACUGAGGGGGGCUGCUCCUAGUACGAGAGGACCGGAGUGGACGCAUCACUGGUGUUCGGGUUGUCAUGCCAAUGGCACUGCCCGGUAGCUAAAUGCGGAAGAGAUAAGUGCUGAAAGCAUCUAAGCACGAAACUUGCCCCGAGAUGAGUUCUCCCUGAGACUUAAAGUCUCCUGAAGGAACGUUGAAGACGACGACGUUGAUAGGCCGGGUGUGUAAGCGCAGCGAUGCGUUGAGCUAACCGGUACUAAUGAACCGUGAGGCUUAACCUU